rnacentral:rRNA from 1 species
UACGCAGGUGGCGAGCGUUGUCCGGAUUUACUGGGCGUAAAGGGAGCGUAGGCGGACUUUUAAGUGAGAUGUGAAAUACUCGGGCUCAACUUGAGUGCUGCAUUUCAAACUGGAAGUCUAGAGUGCAGGAGAGGAGAAUGGAAUUCCUAGUGUAGCGGUGAAAUGCGUAGAGAUUAGGAAGAACACCAGUGGCGAAGGCGAUUCUCUGGACUGUAACUGACGCUGAGGCUCGAAAGCGUGGGGAGCAAACAGG